CUCGGCAGGCGUCGACCGGCGCACGGGUGAGUAACGCGUAUCCAACCUUCCCUUUACCCCGGGGAUAACCCGUAGAAAUGCGGGACUAAGACCGGAUGCCGUGGCAUGAUGGCAUCAGAGCGCACGAAAAGCGAUGGUAAAGGAUGGGGAUGCGUCUGAUUAGGUAGUAGGCGGGGCAACGGCCCACCUAGCCGACGAUCAGUAGGGGUUCUGAGAGGAAGGUCCCCCACAUUGGAACUGAGACACGGUCCAAACUCCUACGGGAGGCAGCAGUGAGGAAUAUUGGUCAAUGGGCGGAAGCCUGAACCAGCCAAGUAGCGUGCAGGAAGACGGCCCUAUGGGUUGUAAACUGCUUUUAUGCGGGGAUAAAGUGGGCCACGCGUGGCCCAUUGCAGGUACCGCAUGAAUAAGGACCGGCUAAUUCCGUGCC
rnacentral:rRNA from 1 species